rnacentral:rRNA from 1 species
GAUGAACGCUAGCUACAGGCUUAACACAUGCAAGUCGAGGGGUAACAAGAGAAAAGCUUGCUUUUCUUGUUGACGACCGGCGCACGGGUGAGUAACGCGUAUCCAACCUGCCUGUAACUAGGGAAUAACCUUGCGAAAGUAAGACUAAUACCCUAUGAUUUCCUUUGAUGACAUCAGAUUAGGAAUAAAGAUUUAUCGGUUAUAGAUGGGGAUGCAUCUGAUUAGCUUGUUGGCGGGGUAACGGCCCACCAAGGCAACGAUCAGUAGGGGUUCUGAGAGGAAGGUCCCCCACAGUGGAACUGAGACACGGUCCAAACUCCUACGGGAGGCAGCAGUGAGGAAUAUUGGUCAAUGGGCGGAAGCCUGAACCAGCCAAGUAGCGUGCAGGAUGACGGCCCUAUGGGUUGUAAACUGCUUUUAUACAGGAAUAAAGUUAGCCACGUGUGGUUAUUUGUAGGUACUGUAUGAAUAAGGACCGGCUAAUUCCGUGCCAGCAGCCGCCGUAACAC